rnacentral:rRNA from 1 species
UGGGGAAUUUUGGACAAUGGGCGAAAGCCUGAUCCAGCCAUGCCGCGUGCGGGAAGAAGGCCUUCGGGUUGUAAACCGCUUUAGUCCGGGAAAAAGGGCUGACGUGCUAAUACCGCGUUGGUUUGAUGGUACUGGAAGAAUAAGCACCGGCUAACUACGUGCCAGCAGCCGCGGUAAUACGUAGGGUGCGAGCGUUAAUCGGAAUUACUGGGCGUAAAGCGUGCGCAGGCGGUCUUGUAAGACAGUCGUGAAAGCCCCGGGCUUAACCUGGGAACUGCGAUUGUGACUGCAAGGCUAGAGUGUGUCAGAGGGGGGUGGAAUUCCACGUGUAGCAGUGAAAUGCGUAGAGAUGUGGAGGAACACCGAUGGCGAAGGCAGCCCCCUGGGAUAACACUGACGCUCAUGCACGAAAGCGUGGGGAGCAAACA